rnacentral:rRNA from 1 species
UACAGGGGGGGCAAGCGUUGUUCGGAAUUACUGGGCGUAAAGGGCUCGUAGGCGGUCUGUUGCGUCGGGAGUGAAAACUCAGGGCUUAACCCUGAGCCUGCUUCCGAUACGGGCAGACUAGAGGUAUGCAGGGGAGAACGGAAUUCCUGGUGUAGCGGUGAAAUGCGCAGAUAUCAGGAGGAACACCGGUGGCGAAGGCGGUUCUCUGGGCAGUACCUGACGCUGAGGAGCGAAAGUGUGGGGAGCGAACAGG